rnacentral:lncRNA from 1 species
AGAUACUGGGGGAGAGGGAUUGGAGCAAGACCACACUUGCUCUUAGGAGAUGCUUCUGUAUCAACGCCCAAUUUCCUUUUCUCAUCAGAGAGAUUUGAUCAAACAGCAAAGCUACUUAGUUUUGGGGAUGAAUUCAGAAAGAUAUUCAAGGGAGGAUUGACAAAGAACAAGCGGUUCUUUGCUUUGCUCAGCUCACCGGCAUUGAUGCAAAGAGGGAAACUCUAUGUUGGAUAUUAUGU